GAUGAACGCUAGCUACAGGCUUAACACAUGCAAGUCGAGGGGCAUCACAGUGUAGCAAUACACGGGUGGCGACCGGCGCACGGGUGCGUAACACGUAUCCAAUCUGCCCGUUACUCGGGGAUAGCCUUCUGAAAGGAAGAUUAAUACCCGAUGGCAUGUAUUUCCGGCAUCGGAGAUACAUUAAAGAUUUAUUGGUAACGGGUGAGGAUGCGUACGAUUAGCUAGUUGGCGGGGUAACGGCCCACCAAGGCUACGAUCGUUAGGGGUUCUGAGAGGAAGGUCCCCCACACUGGAACUGAGACACGGUCCAGACUCCUACGGGAGGCAGCAGUGAGGAAUAUUGGUCAAUGGGCGCGAGCCUGAACCAGCCAAGUAGCGUGAAGGAUGACUGCCCUACGGGUUGUAAACUUCUUUUGUUUGGGAAUAAAUGAUACUACGUGUAGUAUUUUGCAUGUACCUUACGAAUAAGCAUCGGCUAAUUCCGUGCCAGCAGCCGCUGUAAUAC
rnacentral:rRNA from 1 species